rnacentral:rRNA from 1 species
UACGUAGGGGCUAGCGUUGUCCGGAUUUAUUGGGCGUAAAGAGCGUGUAGGCGGCCAUGUAGGUCCGGUGUGAAACUCGAGGCUUAACCUCGAGAUGUCAUCGGAAACCAUUUGGCUAGAGUCCGGAAGAGGAGAGUGGAAUUCCGUGGUGUAGCGGUGAAAUGCGCAGAUAUCAGGAAGAACACCAAUGGCGAAAGCAGCUCUCUGGGACGGUACUGACGCUGAGACGCGAAAGCGUGGGGAGCGAACAGG